CGUCGUCUUCCUAGUUGUUGGGCGCUGCAUGGAGUCGGGGUCUAACAGUCUUCACAGUUGGGUGACAUUGCCAAGAUGAAGAAGAACCAGAAUAUCAUGCAAGAAGAAUUGGAUGACAUUGAGGUCUGGAGUUAGAAUUGGGAUGAAAUUCAACACCACAGAAGGCAAGGAUCUUAUGUAGACAUCUCAUGUGGAAGCUGCUCAGUCUCUUGAUAAGUCCAGCAUAUGUAGUCCACAUUUCUGAACCAUAAAGCGGGGAUGACAGCGCACGAGUCUCACAGAUUUGUAUCUUCACCUUAGCUGAGAGUUUGCUGAUAUUCCAUGCAUGUUUUUGUAAUAGCCCAAAAUUCAUAGCUGCUUUUCUGAUUCUGUUUGUCAGAUCAGUUUGACGAUCAAGAUUUCUGCUGAUCAUAGCAGAUCAGCAGAAAUCUUUUGCAAAGUAGCAAAAACUGUCAACAACACCAUGAGAUUUAUCCUUUAAAGUGAUGUCAGAUAUUGGUUCUUUCACCCUGUGGUACAUGUAUCCCUCAGUACAUGAGUCAGAAAAUCUGCCCAAGAGAUUUUUCAGGGAAGAUUCACUGUAGGCCAUCAAGGUCUCAUCAUCCACAAACAGGAAAUUGCUCAGAACCUGAAAGAAAUACUGUAUACAAGGUCUUAUCACAGUGCUGAUGGUGACACUGACCAUGUUUUAGUCUGCUGCAAAGUCAGAAUCAAUAUAAAAAAAUCCACCAUAGCAAAACUAGCAGUCACUCUCAGAUAGACAUCAGCCAAACUAAAGACAUUAAAAAAUGCAGAAUAUUCAAUGAAAAAGUUGUAAAAGCAAGUUUACGUAACACCUUAGCCACUGACACUUGGGAAAGCCUAAAAAUUAACAUGUACAAUGCUGCUAUAACAGAGUUUGUCAGAAAAUGCAAGAGAAUGCAAGCGUUUGUCAGAAAAUGCAAGAAAAAUGCAGCAAUGGUGCACAGGCUUUUUGUGAUGCGAUUAAUUCAACUGUGCAUUAGCAUAGUUUUUGCUGUGAUGUGCUAAGUCUCAGUAGAAUUAGUCUACCGCACAUU